GGCAAAGGACGAGGUCGCGGUCGAGGUGGCGCCAGGGUUGUCCAGUGCCAGAUCUGCUCCAGCGAAGGCCACUUGGCCGCUUCGUGCUAUCGCCGGUAUGAUGGCGCUCCGGGGCCGCGGGCGCAUGUUGCGUAUUCCGUUGAUGAUGCGGCUUCGGUAAAUCCUCAGCAGUGGUUUCCUGACACUGGUGCGUCAAAUCAUGCCACUCCGGAUCCAUCCUUGAUGUCCUCGGCGGUUUCCUAUAAUGGUCCGGAUCAUCUCCGUGUUGGUGACGGAUCGUUCAACCAGGGAAGUUCUGUAUAGAGGACCGGCUUCGGGGGGUUUCUAUUCUUGGCCUGUCUCUCGUUCAAGUCCCGCUGCGUUUGUGGCCUCUCGUGUCUCCUCUGAGGUGUGGCAUGCUCGGUUGGGUCACCCUCAUCCGCGUGUCUUACGACAGAUAUUAAAUUCGUGUUCUAUUCAGUCUAGUUUUAGUGAUAGUUCGGUGUUGUGUCGUGCUUGUAUGCUUGGGAAAUCCUCUCGGUUUCCCUUGCCCCGUGUCAAUACUACUACGUCGCAUGUUUUAGAGCUUAUAUAUACCGAUAUUUGGGGGCCAGCGCCUUUUCUUUCUGUCAAUGGUUUUCGUUAUUUUGUUUUGUUUGUUGAUGACUA